CACGCUGAAGCUGAUUACAGCAUUUAACUGUUAAUUAAAAGGAAGCCUUAUUAGGUCAGUGUGA
rnacentral:tRNA from 1 species